UCCUUCGGGUGCGAGCGUUAAUCGGAAUUACUGGGCGUAAAGCGUGCGCAGGCGGCUCUUCAAGUCAGAUGUGAAAGCCCCGGGCUUAACCUGGGAAUGGCGUUUGAAACUGGAGGGCUGGAGUGUGGCAGAGGGAGGUGGAAUUCCACGUGUAGCAGUGAAAUGCGUAGAGAUGUGGAGGAACACCGAUGGCGAAGGCAGCCUCCUGGGCCAACACUGACGCUCAUGCACGAAAGCGUGGGGAGCAAACAGG
rnacentral:rRNA from 1 species